UUAGAGUUUGAUCCUGGCUCAGGACGACCUCUGGCGGCGUGCCUAACACAUGCAAGUCGAACGAGGAAUAUUUUUCGAAAUAUUCUUAGUGGCGGACGGGUGAGUAACGCGUGAACAAUCUGCCCUGUACAAAGGAAUACCCUCGGGAAACCGGGAUUAAAACCGUAUGAUACUUUGAUGCCGCAUGGCAAUGAAGUCAAAUAUUUAUAGGUAUGGGAUGAGUUCGCGUCUGAUUAGCUGGUUGGUGAGGUAAAGGCCCACCAAGGCGACGAUCAGUAGCCGGCCUGAGAGGGUGAACGGCCACACUGGAACUGAGACACGGUCCAGACUCCUACGGGAGGCAGCAGUGGGGAAUAUUGCACAAUGGAGGGAACUCUGAUGCAGCGACGCCGCGUGAGUGAAGAAGGUCUUCGGAUCGUAAAACUCUGUCCUUGGUGAAGAAAAGGACGGUAGCCAAGGAGGAAGCCCCGGCUAACUACGUGCCAGCAGCCGCGGUAAUACGUAGGGGGCGAGCGUUGUCCGGAUUUACUGGGCGUAAAGGGUGAGUAGGCGGUAAUAUAUGUCAGGUGUAAAAGAUCAUGGCUUAACCAUGGUUAGCACUUGAAACUGUAUGACUUGAGUGCAGGAGAGGUAAGCGGAAUUCCUAGUGUAGCGGUGAAAUGCGUAGAUAUUAGGAGGAACACCAGUGGCGAAGGCGGCUUACUGGACUGUAACUGACGCUGAGUCACGAAAGCGUGGGUAGCAAAGAGGAUUAGAUACCCUGGUAGUCCACGCGUAACCCAUAGGGGUAGGUGUUGGGUAGCGAUAUUCAGUGCCGUAGUAAACACAAUAAGCACUCCGCCUGGGGAGUACGUACGCAAGUAUAAAACUCAAAGGAAUUGACGGGGACCCGCACAAGCAGCGGAGCAUGUGGUUUAAUUCGAAGCAACGCGAAGAACCUUACCAAGGCUUGACAUCCCCUUGACAGAUGCAGAGAUGUGUCCUCUCCUUCGGGAGCAAGGGAGACAGGUGGUGCAUGGUUGUCGUCAGCUCGUGUCGUGAGAUGUUGGGUUAAGUCCCGCAACGAGCGCAACCCUUAUCCUUAGUUGCCAUCAAGUUAAGUUGGGCACUCUAAGGAGACUGCCGGUGAUAAACCGGAGGAAGGUGGGGAUGACGUCAAAUCAUCAUGCCCCUUAUGUCUUGGGCUACACACGUGCUACAAUGGUCGGUACAACGGGGAGCGAAGGAGCGAUCCCAAGCAAAUCCCAAUAAACCGAUCCCAGUUCGGAUUGCAGGCUGCAACUCGCCUGCAUGAAGUCGGAGUUGCUAGUAAUCGCGAAUCAGAACGUCGCGGUGAAUGCGUUCCCGGGUCUUGUACACACCGCCCGUCA
rnacentral:rRNA from 1 species